rnacentral:rRNA from 1 species
AUUGAACGCUGGCGGCAGGCCUAACACAUGCAAGUCGAGCGGAUGAAGGGAGCUUGCUCUUGGAUUCAGCGGCGGACGGGUGAGUAAUGCCUAGGAAUCUGCCUGGUAGUGGGGGACAACGUUUCGAAAGGAACGCUAAUACCGCAUACGUCCUACGGGAGAAAGCAGGGGACCUUCGGGCCUUGCGCUAUCAGAUGAGCCUAGGUCGGAUUAGCUAGUUGGUGAGGUAAUGGCUCACCAAGGCGACGAUCCGUAACUGGUCUGAGAGGAUGAUCAGUCACACAGGAACUGAGACAAGGUCCAGACUCCUACGGGAUGCAGCAGUGGGGAAUAUUGGACGAUGGGCGAAAGCCUGAUCCAGCCAUGCCGCGUGUGUGAAGAAGGUCUUCGGAUUGGAAAGCACUUUAAGUUGGGAGGAAGGGGUGUAGAUUAAUACUCUGCAAUUUUGACGUUACCGACAGAAUAAGCACCGGCUAACUCUGUGCCAGCCGCCGCCGUAAAAC